GGCAGCAGUGAGGAAUAUUGGUCAAUGGGCGUAAGCCUGAACCAGCCAAGUCGCGUGAGGGAUGAAGGUUCUAUGGAUCGUAAACCUCUUUUAUAAGGGAAUAAAGUGUGGGACGUGUCCUAUUUUGUAUGUACCUUAUGAAUAAGGAUCGGCUAACUCCGUGCCAGCAGCCGCGGUAAUACGGAGGAUCCGAGCGUUAUCCGGAUUUAUUGGGUUUAAAGGGUGCGUAGGCGGCCUUUUAAGUCAGCGGUGAAAGUCUGUGGCUCAACCAUAGAAUUGCCGUUGAAACUGGGGGGCUUGAGUAUGUUUGAGGCAGGCGGAAUGCGUGGUGUAGCGGUGAAAUGCUUAGAUAUCACGCAGAACCCCGAUUGCGAAGGCAGCCUGCCAAGCCAUGACUGACGCUGAUGCACGAAAGCGUGGGGAUCAAACAGGAUUAGAUACCCUGGUAGUCCACGCAGUAAA
rnacentral:rRNA from 1 species